AACGAACGCUGGCGGCAGGCUUAACACAUGCAAGUCGAACGAGAUCUUCGGAUCUAGUGGCAGACGGGUGAGGAACACGUGGGAACAUCCCUUUCAGUUCGGAAUAACGUUGGGAAACUAACGCUAAUACCGGAUACGUCCUUCGGGAGAAAGAUUUAUCGCUGAAAGAUUGGCCCGCGUCUGAUUAGCUAGUUGGUGAGGUAAUGGCUCACCAAGGCUACGAUCAGUAGCUGAUCUGAGGGGAUGAUCAGCCACAUUGGGACUGAGACACGGCCCAAACUCCUACGGGAGGCAGCAGUGGGGAGUAUUGGACAAUGGGCGCAAGCCUGAUCCAGCCAUGCCGCGUGAGUGAUGAAGGCCUUCGGGUUGUAAAGCUCUUUUAUCCGGGAAGAUAAUGACUGUACCGGAAGAAUAAGCCCCGGCAAACUUCGUGCCAGCCGCCGCGGUAA
rnacentral:rRNA from 1 species